GCUUGCCAUCAUUCCGGGAGGCUUGACGAACCGCUGGACAUCCGUGUAAACAGGGCGUUCAAAGUGAAGUUGCGAGCGGCGUGGGAGCCAUGGAUGACAGAUGGCGAACGCAGUUUUACUAAGACUAGGAGGCAGCGCCAGGCGAGUUACGCCACAAUUUGUGCAUUGAUUGUGGAUGCUUGGGCUAACGUGUCUGCUUGUGUUUGAUUGAAAACUUGCCCAGCUGUUCAUUUUGAAUACAGAAGAUGAGGACUCGUGGAUUCGUGGAUGAGGAUUGAUCAAAAAAUAACCUAUAAGAUGCGCUUCAGCCCCUACGUCAGCCUCUACUUCAGCUUCAUCAUUGCCAUCUGAUGUUUCACAGUCACAAACACAAGGAAGCAAACUGUGGCAUCGCCUGGACAGAUCCAUUCAGCAAAGUAUAACUCCCACAUCUACAUCACUGACAGUAAAUGCAACAAUCGAAGUACAGAAAUACCCGGCAGAACAAAACAUAGACAGAUAGGAGGACCCACUGCAGUACUGGAGAAAGCAAAGAAAUUAUUUUCCAAAUUUAUUCACACUGGCUGUUCUGUACCUUUCCACUCAAGCUUCAUCUGUGCCUUGUGAGAGGAUUUUUUCCAAAGCAGGAUAAAUCCUCACAAAAAAGCGGAACCGCCUUCGU